rnacentral:tRNA from 3 species
GCGGCGGUCGUCUAGCCUGGACUAGGAUGCCGGCCUUCCAAGCCGGUGAUCCCGGGUUCAAAUCCCGGCCGCCGCACCA